AUUGAACGCUGGCGGCAGGCCUAACACAUGCAAGUCGAACGAGUGGCGGACGGGUGAGUAAGGUCUGGGAAACUGCCUGAUGGAUGGGGAUAACUACUGGAAACGGUAGCUAAUACCGCAUACCUUCAGAUAUUCCCAGAUGGGAUUAGCUAGGUGGUGGGGUAACGGCUCACCAAGGCGACGAUCCCUAGCUGGUCUGAGAGGAUGACCAGCCACACUGGAACUGAGACACGGUCCAGACUCCUACGGGAGGCAGCAGUGGGGAAUAUUGCACAAUGGGCGAAAGCCUGAUGCAGCCAUGCCGCGUGUAUGAAGAAGGUCUUCGGGUUGUAAAGUACUUUCAGCGGGGAGGCGUUACCCGCAGAAGAAGCACCGGCUAACUCCGUGCCAGCAGCCGCGGUAAUUC
rnacentral:rRNA from 1 species